CGGGAAGUAGCUCAGCUUGGUAGAACACUUGGUUUGGGACCAAGGGGUCGCAGGUUCGAAUCCUGUCUUCCCGA
rnacentral:tRNA from 1 species